rnacentral:rRNA from 1 species
GACGAACGCUGGCGGCGUGCUUAACACAUGCAAGUCGAACGGAAAGGCCCUGCUUUUGUGGGGUGCUCGUGUGGCGAACGGGUGAGUAACACGUGAGUAACCUGCCCUUGACUGUGGGAUAACUUCAGGAAACUGGGGCUAAUACCGGAGAGGAGCUCCUGCUGCAUGGUGGGGGUUGGAAAGUUUCGGCGGUUGUGGAUGGACUCGCGGCUUAUCAGCUUGUUUGUGAGGUAGUGGCUUACCAAGGCUUUGACGGGUAGCCGGCCUGAGAGGGUGACCGGCCACAUUGGGACUGAGAUACGGCCCAGACUCCUACGGGAGGCAGCAGUGGGGAAUAUUGCACAAUGGGCGGAAGCCUGAUGCAGCAACGCCGCGUGCGGGAUGACGGCCUUCGGGUUGUAAACCGCUUUCGCCUGUGACGAAGCGUGAGUGACGGUAAUGGGUAAAGAAGCACCGGCUAACUACGUG